rnacentral:rRNA from 1 species
GAUGAACGCUGGCGGCGUGCCUAAUACAUGCAAGUCGAGCGAACGGACGAGAAGCUUGCUUCUCUGAUGUUAGCGGCGGACGGGUGAGUAACACGUGGAUAACCUACCUAUAAGACUGGGAUAACUUCGGGAAACCGGAGCUAAUACCGGAUAAUAUUUUGAACCGCAUGGUUCAAAAGUGAAAGACGGUCUUGCUGUCCCUUAUAGAUGGAUCCGCGCUGCAUUAGCUAGUUGGUAAGGUAACGGCUUACCAAGGCAACGAUGCAUAGCCGACCUGAGAGGGUGAUCGGCCACACUGGAACUGAGACACGGUCCAGACGCCUACGGGAGGCAGCAGUAGGGAAUCUUCCGCAAUGGGCGAAAGCCUGACGGAGCAACGCCGCGUGAGUGAUGAAGGUCUUCGGAUCGUAAAACUCUGUUAUUAGGGAAGAACAUAUGUGUAAGUAACUGUGCACAUCUUGACGGUACCUAAUCAGAAAGCCACGGCUAACUACGUG